AAAGGAUGGGCAAAAGAUGACACGUAAGCACUCUUAUUUUGCGUACGAAAGUUACUUUGAUCUGUAUGUGGGCCACUCAGUUAUUGGUUUAGAAGAGCCUAGGCCUAAUCUCACACCCAAUAAAACAGCUUUAUUUCCCAAAAAAUUAUUUAUCUGAUAGGCCUAAUAUUAUACACUUCAACCAAGCCCAAAAUAUCCAUCUCGAGUAUUCUUCUUCGAUCGUCUUUACCUCCUCGCAUCCUCUUCAUUCAAUGGCGAUAACAACUUAGAGUUGUAACAGUUUUUGUUGUCAUUGAAUCCUUAUCAUAAAUUUCUCCAUUAAGUCUCUCAUUCAAGCUCUCCCACGACGUUUCAAUUUUUUCUUACCUCAACAGCUAAACCCCAUCUCAAAUCCCUAAUUUCAACCACUAUAAAUAAGGGAUGCAGAAUACGGCAGAUUUCCUGCUUCACUUGAUUCAACCAUUCUGCUUCCUUGCACAUACAUCCUGCAUCUGUCAUCCCAUUCCUUCUUUCCGCUUUUAAGUACGGUUGUUGUCCUCAGACAGUGGUGAUGCGUCUCAUGCGUUUGUCUCUGGGAAGCAAGCAACUUCCAAAAAAGAGGAGAGCUCAUGGGAGUCGACAUUGCUCUUGCUUGAUGAAAAUCUCUCUUUAGCCAAAACUUCAUCUCCUGAAUCAUCUACAUUUGAUAUGGUAGAAGAAAUAUAUGUGACAGCUGAGGGUAGUGAAUGAUGUUGAUCCUGAAAGAAAAAUUAUCAAAGCCCCAAAAGCUGGAGACAAAGCUUCUAAAGAAGCAAUAGAAUUAUGGACAAAAGUUUCUGUAGUUUAAUUAUGGCUGCACAAGACCAAACCCCAUGGAAUUUAGUUACAUAUUAUUUCAACUGCUCUCCUACUCUGCCCCCUUUGCAAUAUAUCAUCAAUAAUAAAAGCUACUGGCAACAUGUAUGCACAACCUUCAGCAAAGAAAGCUGGCCAUCAAUCUGCAAAUAACAGCACCAUGGCUACGGGAAUAUCAAGUAUUUUUUGUCCCAAUAGAUAGAUAAUUGGUCGAGAGGUGUUGUUGACAUAUUAAAAGUGGAAUAUGCCUAAAAUGAUGUUGCUUCCAUCAACAACAUGCAGAUACGUUCUUAGCGGCAUCAAAAUCUCUACCCCUUGAUUCUUAUCUCCAGACCUCAUUCUUCUCUUAUCAUUUUCAGUAACUGACGUUUGGUGUUUGAUAUUUCUUUCAAAGGGAAUUUGUAUUUAUUUACUGUUGAGAUAUAUAUACUAUUAUACAAUCAUGUUUAUUUCAA